UACGUAGGUGGCAAGCGUUGUCCGGAUUUACUGGGCGUAAAGAGCGCGCAGGCGGUUGUGCAAGUCGCGUGUGAAAGCCCCCGGCUCAACUGGGGAGGGUCACGCGAUACUGUUCGACUUGAAGGCAGGAGAGGGAAGUGGAAUUCCCGGUGUAGUGGUGAAAUGCGUAGAUAUCGGGAGGAACACCAGUGGCGAAGGCGACUACCUGGCCUGUUCUUGACGCUGAGGCGCGAAAGCUAGGGGAGCAAACGGG
rnacentral:rRNA from 1 species